rnacentral:sRNA from 1 species
AAAAGUCUAUAGAAAUUGAGUUUGUGUGAGCUGCCAAUAGGGUUGCACAGUAUUCCAUUCAUCAAAUAUGGCGGCGCUAACAAAGAUAAAAUCCACGGCAUACACACUAAAAUGGCCCCUUCGAAAAAAGUGCUGCCAGACCGUCAAAUCAUGAUACCACUAGUGAGUGAAGAAACCGAAAGAAGAAGAAAUAAUAAAAACAAAAAGCACACAUCAUUUUGCGUCGCCUGCGUCAAACGAAAAGUAGAAGAGGACACAAACAGAAUAAGAGGCCCACAACCAUUUUUCGAUUUUUUACUGACACCGUCUAGUGAACAAAAUAAACCAUGUCGGCACCUAUACACAGUGGAUUAGCAGUACGUUCUGCUCGCAUCAAAUAUUUAUUUGGACCACCACACCGAAGUGUGCCAACUAGCCGAGGAUUUUACCGGUAUCUAUAAGCAGGACUUGGCGCGCUAGGAUCGAGAUUCUGUGCGAAGCCAUUCAGAAUAUUAAUCGAGAAUUAGAAUAUAUAGCACGUGAUGGUUGCAGAAUAUCCAGUGAGAUAGGCAAUCGGUAUAUCCGGAAUAAGGCUCAACACCCUGAGAGUCAGUAGCAUAUUGAUCCGAGAAACUUCAUUGGUGGCUC